rnacentral:rRNA from 1 species
CCUAGGGGGGCAGCAGUGGGGAAUAUUGGACAAUGGGCGAAAGCCUGAUCCAGCCAUGCCGCGUGUGUGAAGAAGGCCUUCGGGUUGUAAAGCACUUUCAGUGGGGAAGAAAGCCUUGGGGCUAAUACCCUCGAGGAAGGACAUCACCCACAGAAGAAGCACCGGCUAACUCCGUGCCAGCAGCCGCGGUAAUACGGAGGGUGCGAGCGUUAAUCGGAAUUACUGGGCGUAAAGCGCGCGUAGGCGGUCUGAUAAGCCGGUUGUGAAAGCCCCGGGCUCAACCUGGGAACGGCAUCCGGAACUGUCAGGCUAGAGUGCAGGAGAGGAAGGUAGAAUUCCCGGUGUAGCGGUGAAAUGCGUAGAGAUCGGGAGGAAUACCAGUGGCGAAGGCGGCCUUCUGGACUGACACUGACGCUGAGGUGCGAAAGCGUGGGUAGCAAACAGGAUUAGAUACCCGAGUAGUC